rnacentral:rRNA from 1 species
UACGUAGGGGGCAAGCGUUGUCCGGAAUCAUUGGGCGUAAAGCGCGUGUAGGCGGCUCGGUAAGUCUGCUGUGAAAGUCCAAGGCUCAACCUUGGAAAGCCGGUGGAUACUGUCGAGCUCGAGUCCGGAAGAGGCGAGUGGAAUUCCUGGUGUAGCGGUGAAAUGCGCAGAUAUCAGGAGGAACACCAAUGGCGAAGGCAGCUCGCUGGGACGGUACUGACGCUGAGACGCGAAAGCGUGGGGAGCGAACAGG